CGCCAGGACCAUCUGCCUUGGCAAGGAUCGCGCCUUGACUUCAUGAUGAGAAACUCACCUGUUUAAUAAACAAGCAAGAUAAAGAAUGUGCGGCUUGUCGGGUUAAAUCGGCUGCUUUACGAAGUGCGCUGUGAAAAUGGAGCUGUGGACUUGAACCCAAGAUCCCUUUGAACAUCAAUGCUGCUACAGGGAGCAGUGGACCAAAUGCGGACCCGUUG